rnacentral:piRNA from 2 species
UCUUCUUCAGAUCUCAAAUGAGCCUCCUUU